CCUACGGGAGGCAGCAGUGGGGGAUAUUGCUCAAUGGGGGAAACCCUGAUGCAGCGACGCCGCGUGGGCGAAGAAGUAUCUCGGUAUGUUAAGCCCUAUCAGCAGGGAAGAAGAAAUGACGGUACCUGAGUAAGAAGCACCGGCUAAAUACGUGCCAGCAGCCGCGGUAAUACGUAUGGUGCAAGCGUUAUCCGGAUUUACUGGGUGUAAAGGGAGCGCAGGCGGCACGGCAAGCCUGAUGUGAAAGCCCGCGGCCCAACCGAGGAACUGCAUUGGAAACUGCCGGGCUGGAGUGCCGGAGAGGUAGGCGGAAUGCCUAGUGUAGCGGUGAAAUGCGUAGAUAUUAGGAGGAACACCAGUGGCGAAGGCAGCCUACUGGACGGUGACUGACGCUGAGGCUCGAAAGCGUGGGGAGCAAACAGGAUUAGAUACCCGUGUAGUC
rnacentral:rRNA from 1 species